ACUUAACCCAAUACACAGCAGCAGCUUUCCUUUCUUCUUAAGUCAACCUAAGACACAACAGCAGUAAAAGGAAAAAAAAGAGAGAGGGAAAAGGGAUAGUGGAGAGAAAGAGAGAACCGAGGGGGAAGAAGAGAAGAGGAAGGUUGCACUGGUGCCACUGGGUCCUGCCACCGCCGCCUCGAUGUUGUCGUCCUCACGAGCCGCCACCGCCGGCCUGGAGCCCGCCGCUCGUGUUCCACGGCAUCGUCAUCUCGCCGCGGGACUUGGUGCCGCCGCUGCCAUCGCGUUGUUUGGAGAGGAAGAGUCGCGCCUGAGAAAGGGAGAACCAGGAGGAGCGUCGCGCAAGAGGGAGGUGAUACCUUGUUGUCGCGGUGCUUCCAUGGCCACCGACGCGCCGCUGCACUUCAUCGUUAACGCUGAAGCCUUCAUCACCAUAGACACAGUCAACACUGAUUAGGGCAGAGGAGAGUGAAAAGCAUGAGGGAUGCACGGAAGACAGAGGAGCAAAAAUGCGACAAAGGGGAGAAGGACGAGGUCCGCUCUCAUGCCGUCCUGCUCCGCCACCGCUGCUGCCAUCAAUUAGAUUGAAACCGUUGUUGUUGCACCCUGUUCUGUUGAUUGAGCCGAUGUUGGAGUUAUUGUUUCGGUUCCAAUAUCUCCGUUCUUGAAACGAACCAUCAUAGGGGAUAAUGUUGAUGCCAUCAGGAAACUGCUAAAGCUGCUGCUAGUUCUGACUUUGCUAUCUUGGUACUGGUCUAAUCGUCCCCUUAGGGUUGUAAUUGCUAUUAAUUCCUAUCCAAUCUGAAUCUUUUAUUUUGCUGCAACCAUGGCCACUGCGGUGAAGGUUAACAUUACCGCUACCGCUGUUUCAGUUGCUGCCAUUGCCGUUUUAAUUGCGUGAGAGUCGCAUCUGCUGCCAUGAAUUAGUAGGAGAGGGAAUUAUCACGAUUAAAUUUGUGCGAACUCGGUUAAUUGAGGUAGGGUUUUUCUUAUAAUCUAAUUUAUAUUACAGAGUUGUGAUAACUAGAUAUUAAUGUGAGAGAACAUAUGUCUGUGAUUAUGAUUGUCUUCUAAAUGUGGUUGUUUGCUGGACUGAAUGACUGAUUGCUUGAUUGCUUGAGUAGUUUGUGAUUGCUGAAAAGAAAUUAGUUUGAAAGGUUAUUUAGUUGAUUAUUAUGAAAAAUAGCUUUUCUUGGUUUUGAAGCUAUUUUCGAUAAUGUAAAGGAAUUAGCUUUGGAAAUGAUUUGGAAUAUGAAACUGGAUUAACUUUGGAAAUGGUUUAAUUUUGAGUUAGUGACUUUAUAAAUGAUUUAGUAUUUGAGCUUGUUUGAUUUUAAAAAGAGAUUUAUUAUGGGUACUGAUUCGCUUUGAAAAUAAUUGAUAUUGGAACUAGCUGAAUCUUGGAAAAUGAUUGAGGUUUGGAAAAGGUUUGAGAAAUGUUUGGAUGGGCAUUUAAAAGCUGCAGCACUUACGUUUGGUAAAAUCAAAUUAAAAAUGGCUUUUAAUAAGUACAAGCACCAUAAUUGUGUUUGGUAAAACAGCUUUUAAAAGUUGAAAAAAUUAUAAUAAACAUGUUUAUAACAAAAAAAUAAUUUUUUUUUCAAAUUCUUUAAAAUUUUAUAUAAUAUUUUAAAAUAAAAUAAUGUUAAAAUAAAAAAUUCAUAAUAAACAUAAUAUAAUAAAUAAAUUCUUCUAUUUUUUAACUUUAAAAUUUUAUAUAAGUAUCAUAAAAUUUGUAUGUAAUCCAAUGUUAGUACUGGGUACGUCCAUUACCCACCUAUGUAUAUUGGCUCACCUUUACAGAUCAUAAAAAAUGGGACACAUAUCUCAAAUAAACUACUCUUAUGAUUAUAUAUCUAUAUUUACAUAUGUAUAUACAUGUUGUUAUUAUAAUUUGUACUAAUGCUCAUGCAAAAAAAAUUUUAUGAUUGGUUUUCAUCAACCUCUUCCCGUUUCAAAGAACAGAAAAAAACAAACAAAGAUAAUAGAUCUACUGAAAAAAUACAAAAUUAACGCAAAAAAAAUAAUAUAAAUAGAUAGAAGUUCAUACCUAAUAUGUGAUAGAGAUGUAUUUGUGUUGAAAUUUGUGAAGAUUAGGUUGAAAAAUAAAAAUAUAUGAAGAUUGUGUUAGAUUUUAUGAAGGUUAGGAAGAGAAGUUAGAAAUAUAUGAAGAUUUUAAUGGCAAUAUAAUAGCGGGAAAUAUGUACGGGAAAAUGAAAAAAAUUUGGUAAGCAUAAGCCAGCUUUGAAAAGCUCCCUCCUAGGUGCUUUCAAAAGCACCCCUAACUUUUAAAAGCCGCAAGCACAAGCACUUGAGCUUUUUAAUUUACCAAACGCAAAAUGACGUAAAAGCACAAGCACCUCCUGAAAAAGCUUUACCAAACCCAGCCUUAAACGUGACCUGGCCUCCUUUCUCCAUUUCCCCCUUUUCCCCUUCGCGCCAUUGAGCAUCACCAAAAAAUCAGAGAAAGCUCACCCUCACGCCGGUGCCUCUUCCCCACGCCGUCACCGUCGCCCCUCUUCCCCACUUUCCACUCACCACUCACGCACACCACUUCGCCACUGGAGAAUCGUCGCUCCUCUUCAUCCUUCUGCUCUGGCUGUCACUUCGAGCUCACCAUCGGGAAGAUCUGCACUCAGCAUCGUCCUCUCUUCGCUCACCGUCGUCGAGAAGGGGUGUUCUCAAGAACGGGGCUAUUAUAAUGGCAUGUGUGUGCAACAGUGCUACUCUGCGAAUUUGCUUCAGCUUGCAUUUUGCUUACUCUGGUUUGUGCAUGCCUUCAAUUUUGGUUCUAAAGAUUUUCUGUUUUAAGCAGUGUGCGUGCGUGUGUGUUCAGCUGCUUGAAAAUGAAAUCAUUAGUUGGUGUUUAUUCAGUUUUCUGUUCUGUUCUAUUCUGAAUAGUUAACAAAUUCCGUUAACGCAGGUGAGUGAUGUAUAGUUCUGAAAUUUGGGAGGUUUAGGGUUCCAAUUUUAAGGUUUUCAAUUUGGGGGUUCUGAAAUUUAAGAAUGUGCAUAUAAUAUGUAGAUAUCUCAAACGGUGUAGAAAUUAUAUCGAAGCACCUGAUGCUAGCGUUUGGGAAAUAUCAGGUUUUAUUCUGACGUUCGUCUUUUGAUUGCAAUGACAAUAUACACAGUUGUGAUUUCUUGUUCUAAACCUUAGAGACAAAAUCUCAGAAUUGUAUAUGAUGCCAUUGGAACUCUAGCUGAAGCUGUUGGUGGGGAGCUGAAUCAGAAGGUUCCAUCUUUCAAGUUUUUGGGUGGGAGAAAAAAAGAACUGAUGUUCAAAGAGAAAUAUAGGAAAUUUCUAAGGUUAAAGAGGCUAUUUUAAUAGCAAAUAAUGCAUGGUGGGCUAUUGGAGAACUAGCAGUUAAGAUGGUUGGGAUUUCUCUGUGAACAAGAAUUUGAUGACAAAGCUAUGCAAGGUUUACAACUCCGCCCAACCGAUAGAUUCGAUUUGGGUUGUCUUCUAUUUCCGCAGUAUAAUCUUGUAUAAUAGCUUAGCUUGCCUUACUUUCUCUGAAUUUUUCGUUUUUGUGGGGGUAUGGUGUGUAGAUUUGUAAUUCGAAUCAAGUGAUUCCGAAUUCUAUGUAUAGGGAUAACACAAGUAAAUUGAAUUGAGAUUGUAUAGCUUUACAUUAGAGCUCGAGUACUACUAAAUCGAAUCAGCAUGUAUCGAUUUAGUAUAUGUAAUUCAAAUUUGUCCAAUUUGUUUA